rnacentral:rRNA from 1 species
AGGACGAACGCUGGCGGCGUGCUUAACACAUGCAAGUCGAGCGGAAAGGCCCUUCGGGGUACUCGAGCGGCGAACGGGUGAGUAACACGUGAGCAAUCUGCCCUUAGCUUCGGGAUAGCUCCGGGAAACCGGAUUAAUACCGGAUAUGACUAUGGCUGACAUCAGCCACGGUGGAAAGUUUUUCGGCUAGGGAUGAGCUCGCGGCCUAUCAGCUAGUUGGUGGGGUAACGGCCUACCAAGGCGACGACGGGUA